rnacentral:rRNA from 1 species
GAUCAAGCUACGAAGGGCGUAAGGUGGAUGCCUUGGCACUAGGCGCCGAAGAAGGACGUGACAAGCUGCGAAAAGCUACGGGGAGUUGCACAUGAACUUUGAUCCGUAGAUAUCCGAAUGGGGGAACCCACCUGCCGCAGGGCAGGUACUCAUACAUGAAUAAAUAGUGUAUAGAGAGGGAACCCGGGGAACUGAAACAUCUAAGUACCCGGAGGAAAAGAAAAUAAACAAAUGAUUUCCUGAGUAGUGGCGAGCGAAAGGGAAAGAGCCCAAACCUUUAUAUAGUGAUAUAUGAAGGGGUAGAGGACUCACAUAGAGCGAACAUAGAUAGCCGAACAAUCUGGAAAGGUUGGUCAGAGAGGGUGAAAAUCCCGUAGGCGAAAUCGAGGGUGAGCAGUGAGUAUCCGGAGUACCACGGGACACGAGGAAUCUUGUGGGAAAAUGCGGGGACCAUCCCGUAAGGCUAAAUACGACCUAGUGACCGAUAGCGUAUAGUACUGUGAAGGAAAGGUGAAAAGA